rnacentral:rRNA from 1 species
UCUAAGUAUAAGCACUUAUACCGUGAAACUGCGAAUGGCUCAUUAAAUCAGUUAUCGUUUAUUUGAUAGUACCUUUACCUGGAUAACCGUGGUAAUUCUAGAGCUAAUACAUGCUAAAAACCCCGACUUCGGAAGGGGUGUAUUUAUUAGAUAAAAAACCAAUGCCCUUCGGGGCUCCUUGGUGAUUCAUAAUAACUUAACGAAUCGCAUGGCCUUGCGCCGGCGAUGGUUCAUUCAAAUUUCUGCCCUAUCAACUUUCGAUUGUAGGAUAGAGGCCUACAAUGGUCUUAACGGGUAACGGGGAAUUAGGGUUCUAUUCCGGAGAGGGAGCCUGAGAAACGGCUACCACAUCCAAGGAAGGCAGCAGGCGCGCAAAUUACCCAAUCCCGAUACGGGGAGGUAGUGACAAUAAAUACUGAUACGGGGCUCUUUCGGGUCUCGUAAUUGGAAUGAGUACAAUCUAAAUCCCUUAACGAGGAACAAUUGGAGGGCAAGUCUGGUGCCAGCAGCCGCGGUAAUUCCAGCUCCAAUAGCGUAUAUUAAAGUUGUUGCCGUUAAAAAGCUCGUAGUUGAACCUUGGCCCUGGCUGAUCUGUCCUCCUAAUCGAGCGCACGGAUUCGGUCGGGGCUUUCCUCCUGGGGAGCCCCAUGCCCUUCACUGGGUGUGGCGGGGAACCAGGACUUUUACCUUGAAAAAAUUAGAGUGUUCAAAGCAGGCCUUUGCUCGAAUACAUUAGCAUGGAAUAAUAGAAUAGGACAUCGGUUCUAUUUUGUUGGUUUCUAGGACCGCUGUAAUGAUUAAUAGGGACAGUCGGGGGCGUCAGUAUUCAAUUGUCAGAGGUGAAAUUCUUGGAUUUAUUGAAGACUAACUACUGCGAAAGCAUUCGCCAAGGAUGUUUUCAUUAAUCAGUGAACGAAAGUUAGGGGAUCGAAGACGAUCAGAUACCGUCGUAGUCUUAACCAUAAACUAUGCCGACUAGGGAUCGGACGGUGGUUUUUUAUGCCCCGUUCGGCACCUUACGAGAAAUCAAAGUUUUUGGGCUCGGGGGGGA